GAACGCACCUUCGGGUGAGUGGCGGACGGGUGAGUAACACGUGGGAACGUGCCUUUUGGUUCGGAAUAAUCCGGGGAAACCUGGCCUAAUACCGGAUGUGCCCUUCGGGGGAAAGAUUUAUCGCCAUUAGAGCGGCCCGCGUCUGAUUAGCUAGUUGGCGGGGUAAUGGCCCACCAAGACUGUGAUCGGUAUCCGGCCUGAGAGGGCGCACGGACACACUGGAACUGAAACACGGUCCAGACUCCUACGGGAGGCAGCAGUGGGGAAUUUUGCGCAAUGGGGGAAACCCUGACGCAGCAACGCCGCGUGGAGGAUGAAGUACUUCGGUACGUAAACUCCUUUCGAUCGGGACGAUAAUGACGGUACCGGAAGAAGAAGCCCCGGCUAACUUCGUGCCAGCAGCCGCGGUAAUACGAGGGGGGCAAGCGUUGUUCGGAAUUAUUGGGCGUAAAGGGUGCGUAGGCGGUUUGGUAAGUCUUGUGUGAAAUCUCCGGGCUCAACUCGGAGUCUGCACAGGAAACUG
rnacentral:rRNA from 1 species